rnacentral:misc_RNA from 1 species
GAUGAAGAACGUAGCGAAAUGCGAUAAGUAAUGCGAAUUGCAGAAUUCCAGUGAGUCAUCGAAUCUUUGAACGCACAUUGCGCCCUUCGGUAUUCCGAAGGGCAUGCCUGUUCGAGCGUCAUUAUCACCCCUCAAGCCCUCGGCUUGGUGUUGGACGGUUUGGUGGAGGCCCCCUCGGGGGCUCCUGCCCCUCCCAAAGACAAUGACGGCGGCCUCGUUGGACCCCCGGUACACUGAGUUCUUCACGGGACACGUAUCGGACACAUGGGUUUACGGGACACGGUCUGCCUCCCCUCAGGGAGAAUCUUUCUAAGGUUGACCUCGGAUCAGGUAGGGAUACCCGCUGAACUUAAGCAUAUCAAUAAGCGGAGGA